GAUGAAGAACGUAGCGAAAUGCGAUAAGUAAUGUGAAUUGCAGAAUUCAGUGAAUCAUCGAAUCUUUGAACGCACCUUGCGCUCCUUGGUACUCCGAGGAGCAUGCCUGUUUGAGUGUCGUGAAAUUCUCAACCUUCCUGGCUUUUGCAAGCUGGUUAGGCUUGGAUUAUGGGAGUUGCUGGCUUUCACAAGUUGGCUCUUCUGAAAUGCAUUAGCAAGAUUCAUUGCUGCUCAUCAUUGGUAUGAUAAUUAUCUAUACCUUUGAGAGUCGGUUAUCCCUUGUGGAGGAUUUUGCUUCUAACCGUCUUUUUAAGACAACACUUGACAAUUUUGACCUCAAAUCAGGUAGGACUACCCGCUGAACUUAAGCAUAUCAAUAAGCGGAGGA
rnacentral:misc_RNA from 1 species